UCUUCUUUGCAGCCAAACUAGUCUAACCUGCCUUUUGUUAACUGGAACUGGAGCAAUAAAACAAAGAAAAUAAAUGCCUCAUUUUCCGGCUUUGUGGGUGAGAGAACAAUAAGUGAAGAUUAUAAUGCUGGAAACUGACAGGCUUCAACCAGCUGCCUCAGGAAUCUGCCAAGAACUUUGCUGAAAAUAUGUUCCUCAUCUUAGCAACGGAGCUGACUUAUCACACAUCUGCCCACCUUUAUUCGAAUGACGCUCUUGAUCUGAGAGCUCAGGCAUUGUCAGUUUCAUCCAGAACAAUUUACAAACUUGGAACCUAAUCCUGUAAACCCUUAAUCAUUUGAUCAAUCCCAUUGAAGACAAAUGGGACUACUUGCAUGACUAUGGACCACUUUUGUGAACGGGACUGGCCAUAUCCAGAGAGAUGGUGGCAGGCCGUGGUGCUGGAACAUGCCAGGUCAUCAUCACCACUCCCAUGGAGAUGCUGACAAUCCAACUACAGGAAUCAGAGAGAGUAGGGAUGUUUCCUUCUCCAUCAUCUACUUUCCAUUAUUUGCACAUUUGAACAGAGGAGGACAGGAGUCUCUGGAUGACAGAGCCCCAGUUUAUCAGUUAUUUCUAGCUGGUUAUGUGGCUGGCUCUGUGGCAGCAGUCUGUGUCAAUCCGUGUGAUGGAAAAUUUGAUGGAAGGAGGGUCCCUCUGCCUUCCUGAGAGGGGCUGGCUGCAGAGCAUUAGUCACUGCUCCUCUCUUUGGUAUCCCAAGUCAUUUACUUUAUUGGAGUAGGGGAGUUCCUUGUUGAGCUUUCCCAAUAUGGCAGAUUUUCAUCCUAACUCCUCAUGCCAUGGACAUGUUGGAACAGAACCUGCAAGAAUCAUCGAUAUAGAGAGGACCCAAGAAACAAAUGGCAACUCAGAUUGAUUUACUUACAUUCUUAGUGAAUCUGGGGUUCCCUGAAUACACUGUUACUAAUCAACUAAAGUUAAUGGAAAGUUGGGACAACGUAUCCCCUGGGCUGCUGCUCAGUGUUGCACCCCAGCUUGGGGAUGCUGUACGUCUCCUUUUCAUGGCAUUUCCUAUUAUCCGUUUGCACCAAGAGUCAGACUUGUGACACCAACAACCAGUGCAGUACAGGAGUCUGCAUAUUGUUAGUGUAUGAUAAUGUCUCCCAGUGCUAAGGGUUCUAAGAGACAUAAAUCUCUAUAUGUGAAACAACCAUUGCUGCUUUACUGAAUUUUGUGUACUUUUCAGAGGGUAGCAUGCUCAGACAUUAGGGGUAGUUGAUUUGGAACUUCAGUAGGUGGUGGAAUUUAAUGGGGCAGGUUAAAGACUUCAGUCUUACAUGGAGGUUAAGGACAUGCUGUUGAAGGAAUAUAUAUAUAUAUAUAUUUAUUUAAUGAAGGGAACAUGAACAACACAUUUUCUAAUGGGUUUGGAGCCAAGUCUUUCUCUAUUAGCUGCACUUGAUUAUCCAGCUACCGGACUAGAAAGGUCUGUCUUGGUAUUUCUCUUUGUUCUCUGUUCCAUCAAUGCUGUUUCAUUAAUUCACUCUUUACAAUUAAUUGGGAACAGAAGGCUAUGGCUUAUAAAAAGUCAUAGUUUACAACUUGGAGCAUUUCCUUGUAAAGAAGGUGGUUGCUUUGGUGACUGCUAAAAACAGAAGCCAUUUCAGACCAUACAUGCAUAGUAGGCAAACUAUCCUAGAUAGGCACUCAGUAUGAAAUUCAUCCUGUACAAGGCCUACUUAUCACUUACAAUAUGGGUUCUAGAGUGAGCCCCAAAUGGAUUUUGUAUGCUCAGAAACCCUAAUUGUUCAGCAGACAUAGGUGCUACUUGAACUUGUUAGCAUAACUCACUCCAUACUUGAACUUCUCAGCAAUAAAAGACCAGUUCUUCCCUCAAACAAACAUACAGUGCAACCACUGAAUUUGCUAGGAGCUGCACCUGAGGAUAAAACUGGAUCAGGAGUUUUUAACCAUGUUAAAAUAUUACCUUUGAUUAUAUUUAGCCAGUUCUUUUCCUUGGCAGUGAGCUCAUGUAAUGGCUGAUCCCAGUUUUUUCUUUGUUGUUUGCAGAGGAAUAAACUGGUCAGUAUCUUUGGCCCCUUCCCCAAAUCCAUUGUGUGCAGUCUGCAAUUUAAAUGUAUAUGGUGCAAGGAAAGCUUGAAGCCCUCUAUGACAUUAAUGGCAACUUUGUAGAAGCCAUCCGUACCCUGUGCCUGCCAUACCACCUUGCAGCAAAAGCUAGUGAUCCUUCUGUAUUAAUGAAGCAUAUUUUUUCUUUGCUGCAGCCC